rnacentral:rRNA from 1 species
CAGUCGCCACGGGAAUACGAAGGGGGCUAGCGUUGUUCGGAUUUACUGGGCGUAAAGCGCACGUAGGCGGACUUUUAAGUCAGGGGUGAAAUCCCGGGGCUCAACCCCGGAACUGCCUUUGAUACUGGAAGUCUUGAGUAUGGUAGAGGUGAGUGGAAUUCCGAGUGUAGAGGUGAAAUUCGUAGAUAUUCGGAGGAACACCAGUGGCGAAGGCGGCUCACUGGACCAUUACUGACGCUGAGGUACGAAAGCAUGGGGAGCAAACAGGAUUAGAUACCCCCGUAGUCCCUGUCUCUUAUAC